rnacentral:rRNA from 1 species
UACGGAGGGUGCAAGCGUUAUCCGGAUUCACUGGGUUUAAAGGGUGCGUAGGCGGAUAGGUAAGUCCGUGGUGAAAUCCUGCAGCUUAACUGCAGAACUGCCGUGGAUACUAUCGUAUCUUGAAUGUCGUGGAGGUUAGCGGAAUAUGUCAUGUAGCGGUGAAAUGCUUAGAUAUGACAUAGGAACACCCAUUGCGAAGGCAGCUAACUACGCGAUAAUUGACGCUGAUGCACGAAAGCGUGGGGAUCA